rnacentral:lncRNA from 1 species
AAUGGGUGUGAUCGAGACAGAUCUAAUCACAAGUACUACUGGUGAUGAUGCUAUGGAGCAGACGAAGACAACUGCAGAGGAUGCUCAAAUGGGUGCCAUCAAGACAGAUGUAAUCACAAGUAAUACUGGUGACAUUUCUAUUGACAAGUUUGUGACAGCGUUGGAUGCGAAAACAGCCAUUUCUCAUACUGAAAUCACAGACCAGAUUAGAAAAAAAGUGGGUGGCACUCAAAUGGCUCAUCAUUCACAUCAGGCAGGUGGCCGUUCUGGUGAUGCUUUUAUGAAAAGGUUUAAUCAUGAGAAACCUUCUGAUGACAAUAAAAUGAAGAAGAUCAUGCUCAAGAUUUUUCCAAAUUUAUAACGAAUUCGAGCUCGAACAUCAUAUAUAUGAACAUCUAACGAGCCGAGUUCGAGCUCAAGCACGAAUUCGACAUUAUCGAAUCGAGCUCGAGCCGAGCUCGAACACUCGAAUAUUUAAAUGAACCGAGCUCGAGCCUGCUAGUAUUCGGCUCGGCUCGGCUCGGCUCAGCUCGUUUACAGCCCUAGAUAUACCAUGACUUCCCAAUUAAUGUUUACUAGAUUUAACAAGGGCGGAUGAGUUUAAGCACAUCAAUAUAUUUCAGCUAGAUGAUAAUAGUAUACAAUACCAAAUAUAAUGUGUAGAUCAUACAGAAACACAAUCUUAAAAUCUAUGUAGAAAAUAGCCUGAAAAUAACGGAUUAUCAAACUAAGACAAUCACGAAUUGCUUGAGAAAAUGGAUUUCACAUCACAAUCCAUUGAAAUCUGGUCAGCUACGUGACUUAAGGAAACGAACCUGCAAUUGCUCAUUGCCAUAGCUCUGUUGUUCUUCUUCAAUACAUUUUGCAGAUUCCACCAUCGUUGUGUUCCUGAUAUCAACUUCAAUCAGCUCAAGCGUCGGUAUAUCUCCAAAACCACAUGGAAUCUCCCUCAGAUUAUCGCAUUCGUACAGAGUUAACCGCUCGAGCCUGGGAAAAUGAGAGCUCUCCGUAACCCAUUCAAGCAGAUCAGUGCUGUCAAUUAGUAGCACUUUCAGUUGACAGAAUUCCCCUUCCCUCGUUUCCCAUUCCGUCCCACAGCAGGCUCGUCGUCUCAGUUUGAGCACUCGAAGAUUAGGCAGCACUCCGAUCAUCCUCAUAUCCUCCCAUGGAAGUCUGCAGCCACUCAAGCUCAGCUUCCUCAGUGUUACUGGGAAAGCAAUGUUCCGAGACAGAUCAUCCUUCAAAUUCGGAUACGGCUCUGCAUACAAACUCAGCUUCUCAAGCCUAUGAAGAUGAACAAGAUUGUGCAGUUCAUAUCCUGACCAUCCCGUCUCGUACGUGCCUCUGUACGAGUAAGCGAUUCCCAACUUCUUCAAGUUUGGCAUCAUUUCCAACAUCCUCUCCGAGCACUUGAAAUCUUGUACACACGAGAGCGUGUGCAGGUUUUCCAUACACGGCAAGCUCCUUGCAGGCGGGUCGGGCAAGAAACCAUUCAACAGCACAACGUGCCUCAACUGUGGCGUUUCCCAAAUUUGAAAUUCCAUACACGACUUAUUUAAGGAUUUAACAUCUAAACUUGAAAAUUGGGUCUCACCUGUACUCAGAAUCCUCACAACUAAGGUCUGAAGAUCGCGAAGCUGGUACAAGAAAUACAAUAAAAUCAUCAGCCGCUUCUAACAGGUGCACAUGUGAAACCAAGGUAUCUCAAAUGAAUUAGCUCACUGAUAUCCUCAACAGAUUCACCAAGUGUCACACUUAAUGCAUCGAACACCUUAAGAAGUCUAAAUUCUUUCCAAGAAUCCAACGCCCAAUGCUUGAAAAGAAGGAGGGUAUGCAUAGUUGAAACCAUCUCAAUGCUACCGGAGACAUUACAAAACACACUCAGGCGGUUUGAAUUCUCAACGCCUUGAGGAAAGCUGCCGGAGAACUCAUCAAUGGUGCACAGAAAAUUCUCAUCUCGACAUUUCCUUAAACAGAGGCCUCUCAUGAGAUCAUGGAUCUUCACUGUCCUGAUCUUGCCAUCAGAUCCUUUCUUACUGAUCAAAACAAGACUUUUUGCUACCAACUCUUCCAAAUACUCAUAUCCCAACUCCUCCAUCUCUCUUGCUUCAUUUGACAACAGAAACCCCUCCGCCGCCCACAACCUGAUCAGUUUCGACACGUUGAUCUCAUAAUCUUCCGGGAAACACCCCAUGUACAGAAAGCAAGGUCUUAAACGACCAGGCAAGUACUCAUAACUCAACGACAAUAUCUCAACAAAUUUUUCAUCACUUGUGUGAACAAAUUUAGAUACAUUUCUAGCAAUCUCUUCCCAAUUAGCCUCACAAGAGAGAAGAACUCCAGCUAUUACAACAACUGCAAGUGGAAGCCCUCGACAGUUCUGUGCAAUAACUUGUCCAAUUUCCUCAAAUUCGAGAGGGCAAUCUCCAUUUCCAAACACCCUCUCCUUAAGCAACCUCCAGCUUUGAUCCACAGCCAUCAACUGCAUUUGGUGAGGAUGUAAAGAGUCGAUGUAAGAAGCUACGCUCAACUCCCUCGUAGUUACUAUAAUCCGACUCCCAUUCCGAUCAUCGGGAAAGAUCCCCCGUAGAUCAUCCCACACAUCCGUAUCCCACAUAUCAUCCAUCACAACGAGAUAUCUCAUCCCUUUCAAGCGUUUAUAUAUAGUUUCUUUCAAUAACUCAUCGUGCUUACGCUUAUACGCUUCCACACCCACAUUAUUGAGCGAACACAGGGCACUAACAAGAAUUUCCCUUAAUUGAAACCUUUGAGAUAUUGUUAACCAAACGCAUAGAUCAAAGCGAUGAACACUCAGAGGGUCGUGGUAAGCAUACCUAGCAAGAGUGGUCUUCCCGAUGCCUCCCAUCCCAACAAUAGGGAUGACUCUAAGCUGAGAUGAUCCUCCACAGAGCUCACUCUUUAUCUUCAGCAAGUCUUCUUCGAUCCCAAUAAUGCAAUCAGAGGGCCUUGGAAUUUUCAUGCUGCUUUGGAUCUGCAUUGCUGUUGGCUUUUGUGAAUUACUUCAAAAAGAUUUUUUUUUUGAAGGAACUUCAAAAAGAUUAAACCUUGCAAAAUUGGAAUUUUCUUUUUCUCCUAGUCCGUUAACAGCUAACCAAACAACAAUAAAUUGCCGAGAUAAUCAACUUGUAUGUGUAGACCCCACCACAAGCAAUCAAAGUUGAUCGACUAAUUGCGUUGCGUGGUGUGUUGGACAAAUGGUUAGAGUCUAAUGCUUAUAGUCAAAUAUUUUGGAUUUGAGUAUCUUGUGGCAUGAUAUUUUUUAUUUUUUUUAAUAUUGUUAAUUUAUCAAAAAAAAAGUUAGAUCAACUGCAUUCUUUUACUGGCUAACAAGAUUUUAUAACAAAUUAUUAUUAUUAUUAUUAUUAUUAUUAUUAUUAUUAUUAUUAUUAUUUCUAAUCAUAAAUUCGAGUUUUAAAGCUUAAAUUAAUAAUCAAUAGUAAUAUUUUUAGCCUAAAGAUGAGAAAAAGUAAAGCAAUUUAAAAAUUAAAAAUAAAAAUUAGUGACCGGUUAAUUUAGGGCCUAAUGGACGAUACAUUUAAUUUUCAUGUAUUGAUUUUAAAUUUUACAUAGAUUAUAUAACGUUGAUAUCUACUUAAUUUAUAAAAUUAUCAUUAAAAUUGGUUUGAAAUGAUUUUCAAAUUGAUUUUAAAUUGCAGAACUAGUAUUUUCUAGCAGUAUUGAUUAUUAUGUAAUGAUUUCAUGCACAAGUUAAAUCGCCUACUCAAUUUCUAAUUUUUAAAAUAAAGAAUUACUCAAUCCGUCUACGAAUUAAAGUUCUAUUUGACCUUAAAUUUGUGUUCACUGAAUAAAAUCUUAUUGUGCUUUUUUGUACAUUUUUGCUCUUCUUCUUUUUCCUAUAUUUAUUACCUUUAUCACUAAUGGACCACCUUACAACAUCUUUAUCACUUUUAUAUUUUAUAUAGUAUUUGUUAAAUUUUAUCAUUAGUGAACCCACUCCACAACACCUUUAUCAUUUUAGUUAAUUAUUUUUUUAUUUCAUUCACAAUAUUUUUAUUAAUUUUCUUAAUUUUCAUGUUAUUAAGUAUGAAAUGAGUCUUUAAUUUGUAGACGGUAGUGUGAUUGAGGACUUUUAAAAACCAUUAUUCAAAGUUUUCUGGAUGAAUGUGACAGUUAGCCAAACAACAAUAAAUUGUCGAGAUAAUCAACUUGCAUGUGUAAACCCCACCACAACCCACAAGCAAUCAAAGUUGAUCAAACAUUUAUGUAAAAUGGAGAUGCUUUUUUUUUUAAAUUUGAACAAUUAAACAAGAUUUUUUAAGAGUAUUAUUGAUUUUUAAAAGUAACACAAAAUACUCCUUACAUCAAGGUGUAUCGUACACUCAAGUUGAUUCAUACUCAGAUUUUGACUCGCAUUUUCAUUCAAAUUCGCAUCCUGACCCAAAUUGUGUAAAUGACACUAUUCAGUUAUACAAAUGACACUGCUUAUAAUUGACACUAUUCAAUUAUAUAAAUGACACUGUAACAUUUUAAAAUAUUAUAGUGUCAUUUUCAAUCUUAUAGUGUUAUUUAAAAUAUUAUAAUGUCAUUUACAAUCUUAUAGUGUUAUUUAAAAUAUUACUUUUAAAGAAUUGUCAUUUAUAUUUAUGAAUAGUGUCAAUUACACACAAUGUCAUUUACAAUGUUAUAGUGUCAUUUGUAUAACAUAAUAGUGUCAUUACAGACAAUGUUAUUUAUAUAAUAUAGUGUCAUUUAUACAAUUUGAAUCAGAAUGCGGGUCAGGAUUUAGGUACGAGUUAACCCGAAUGUACGAUACACCCGAGUGCAUCCAAGACCGUCUCUUAAAAAAAAAAGGAUGCAUAUUGAAAAUUGAAAUAUAACGUUUGACUUUCCACCCUAAAAAUAAGCCCCAAACUAAGUCUUCUUCGAUCCCAACAAUGCAAUCAGAGGGCCUUGGAUUUUUCAUGCUGCUUUGGAUCUGCAUUACUGUUGGCUUUUAUGAACUACUACUUCAAAAAGAUUCAACCUUGCAAAAUUGGAUUUUUUUUUUCUCCCAGUCCAUCAAAUAAUUUGGGACAAGCAAUGGAUGAAUGUGAGAGCUAACCAAAACUUCAAUGAAUUGUGGAGAUAAUUAACUUGUAUGUGUAGACCCCACCACAACCACAAGCAAUCAAUGUUGAUCAAACCUUAUACAGAAAUGGGGUUGCAUUUUGUAUAACCGAAUAAUGUCAUUUACACAGUUUGGAUCAGGAUGCGGGUUAAGGUCAGGGUGCGGAUCAGGUGCAACUGAUUGCACCCAAAACCAGCUCUAGAUUUAAUUAAGGCGGAUGCAUCAAAGCGUGGAUCUAAUGAUUAACAUUACCUUAUUUUCCCUAAUUUUUUUCUAUAUAAAGAAAUUAACUCAAAAGUUGUACAGUUUUGAGACAGCUAAAAGAGAAUACGAUUCAAACUAGUUGGGACGGAGGGAGUAGUUGAGAGAUGUAUAUAAAGUGUAGAAGAAGGUUCAAUAUUUAUUUUGUAAAUAUCGAGUGUGAAUGUAGUUUAAAAUAUAAAUGAUAGUUUCUAAAAAAGAAAAGCAUGCAAUUUGUAUGGACCAACGAAAAUAGUACUCCUUCUGUCCAUAAUUUUUUUUUAAUCACAAUAUGGACUGCACAUGUUUUAGUAAAAUUUUGAGUUGAAUUGUUAGUGGUGUAAAGAUCCUAUUUUAAAUGAGUGAAGUUGCAUGGAUCAUACUACUGCAAAUAAAAAUAACAAGUUUUUUGUGGACGGAUCAAAGAAGAAAUUGCGACAAUUUUUCAUAGAGGAUGGAGUAAUAAACAUACAAUCUUCGUGAAUGGAUGAGUAAUAUACAAUACCAAAUAUAAGGUGUAGAUCAUAAUGAAACAAUCUUAACAUCUAUGUAGAAAAGAGCAUGAAAAUACAAGCACACAGAUCACCGAAUUGAGGCAAUCACGAUUUGGUUGAGAAAAAGGAUUUCAACACGCACAAAAACUAAGGUACAACCUGUUUGACCCGCACCCAAAUAGUGUUAUUUAUAUGGUUCGGAUCAGGAUACGAGUUCGAGUCAGAGUGCAUGUCAGGGUUUAAGUGAUGGUGCAAACCUGUUGUUCGGUACGCCCAGUUGUACCCAAAAUCACCUCUUUCAUACUACUAUCACUGAAAUCUGACAUGCACCAGAUACGUGACUUAAGGAAACGAACCUGCAAUUGUUCAUUGCCAUAGCUCUGUUGUUCUUCUUCAAUACAUUUUGCAGAUUUCACCAUCGUUCUGUUAAAGAUAUCAACUUCAAUCAGCUCAAGCGUCGGUAUAUCUCCAAAACCACAUGGAAUCUCCCUCAGAUUAUCGCAUUCGUUAAGAGUUAACCGCUCGAGCCUGGGAAAAUGAGAGCUCUCUGUUAUCCAUUCAGUCAGAUCAGUUCUGUCAAUUAGUAGCACUUUCAGUUGACAGAAUUCCCCUUCCCUCGUUUCCCAUUGCGUUCCAAAGCAGGCUCGUCGUCUCAGUUUGAGCACUCGAAGAUUAGGCAGCACUCCGAUCAUCCUCAUAUCCUCCCAUGGAAGUCUGCAGCCACCCAAGCUCAGCUUCCUCAGUGUUACUGGGAAAGCAAUGUUAUGAGACAGAUCAUCCUUCCUAUUCGGAUACGGCUCUGCAUACAAACUCAGCUUCUCAAGCCUAUGAAGAUGAACAAGAUUGUGCAGUUCAUAUCCUGACCAUCCUGUCUUGUACGUGCCUCUAAAUGAGUAAACGAUUCCCAACUUCUUCAAGUUUGGCAUCAUUUCCAUCAUCCUCUCCGAGCACUUGAAAUUUUGUACACACGAGAGCGUGUGCAGGUUUCCCAUACACGGCAAGCUCCCUGCAGACGGGUCGGGCAAGAAACCAUUCAACAGCACAACGUGCCUCAACUGUGGCAUUACCCAAAUUCGAAAUUCCAUACACGACUUAUUUAAGGAUUUAACUUCACCUGUACUCAGAAUCCUCACACUCAGAAUCCUCACAACUAAGGUCUGAAGAUUGCGAAGCUGGUACAAGAAAUUCAAAAAAAUCAUCAGCCGCUUUGUAAGAGGUGCACAUGUGAAACCAAGGUAUCUCAAAUGAAUUAGCUCACUGAUAUCCUCAACAGAUUCACCAAGUGUCACACUUAAUGCAUCGAACACCUUAAGAAGUCUAAAUUCUUUCCAAGAAUCGAACGCCCAAUGCUUGAAAAGAAGGAGGGUAUGCAUAGUUGAAACCAUCUCAAUGCUACCGGAGACAUUACAAAACACACUCAGGCGGUUUGAAUUCUCAACGCCUUGAGGAAAGCUGCCGGAGAACUCAUCAAUGGUGCACAGAAAAUUCUCAUCUCGACAUUUCCUUAAACAGAGGCCUCUCAUGAGAUCAUGGAUCUUCACUGUCCUGAUCUUGCCAUCAGAUCCUUUCUUACUGAUCAAAACAAGACUUUUUGCUACCAACUCUUCCAAAUACUCAUAUCCCAACUCCUCCAUCUCUCUUGCUUCAUUUGACAACAGAAACCCCUCCGCCGCCCACAACCUGAUCAGUUUCGACACAUUGAUCUCAUAAUCUUCCGGGAAACACCCCAUGUACAGAAAGCAAGGCCUUAAACGACCAGGCAAGUACUCAUAACUCAACGACAUAGCUCAACAAAAGUUUAAAGUUAAGUAACUAAUUUACUUUACGUACGAACACUUUCUUCCCAAUUGGCCUCACAAGAGAGAACUCCAGCUAUUACAACAACUGCAAGUGGAAGCCCUCGACAGUUCUGUGCAAUAACUUGUCCAAUUUCCUCAAAUUCGAGAGGGCAAUCUCCAUUUCCAAACACCCUCCCCUUAAGCAACCUCCAGCUUUGAUCCACAGCCAUCAACUGCAUUUGAUGAGGAUGUAAAGAGUCGAUGUAAGAAGCUACGCUCAACUCCCUCGUAGUUACUAUAAUCCGACUCCCAUUACGAUCAUCGGGAAAGAUCCCCCGUAGAUCAUCCCACACAUUCAUAUCCCACAUAUCAUCCAUUACAACGAGAUAUCUCAUCCCUUUCAAGCGUUUAUAUACAGUUUCUUUCAAUAACUCAUCGUGCUUACGCUUAUACGCUUCCACACCCACAUUAUUGAGCGAACACAGGGCACUAACAAGAAUUUCCCUUAAUUGAAAUCUUUGAGAUAUUGUUAACCAAACGCAUAGAUCAAAGCGAUGAACACUCGAAGGGUCGUGGUAAGCAUACCUAGCAAGAGUGGUUUUCCCGAUGCCUCCCAUCCCAACAAUGGGGAUGACUCUAAGCUGAGAUGAUCCUCCACAGAGCUCACUCUUUAUCUUCAGCAAGUCUUCUUCGAUCCCAAUAAUGCAAUCAGAGGGCCUUGGAUCGUUCAUGCUGCUUUGGAUCUGCAUUGCUGUUGGCUUUUAUGAACUACCACUUCAAAAAGAUUCAACCUUGCAAAAUUGGGGUUUUUUUUUUCUCCCAGUCCAUCAAAUAAUUCGGGACAAGCAAUGGAUGAAUGUGAGAGCUAGCCAAACAUCAAUGAAUUUUGGAGACAACCACAAGCAAUCAAAGUUGGUCAAACCUUAUACAGAAAUGGGGUUGCAUUUUGUUUUUUGUUUUUUGUUUUAAAUCAACAAUUAAAAAAAAAGGCUUUUUUAGGUUGGAACGUUUGACUUUCCAGUUUCCACCCUAAAAAUAAGCCCCAAAAUUACUUUAACCUUUUAACCUUUUACCCCCCAAUUUAUUUUCUACAGUUUACUUCUCCCCUCCCCAGCUUCCGAUCCACCUGUCACCGUCGCAUCCACCGCCGGCGUUGCUUCAGCGAGAAACCGUAAAACGGUGAGUCUUUUGAGAUUUGUUUUACAUUCCAUCUCAGUGGUGUUAAAAGCACGCUGUUGAUUUGUCGUGGUUUAGUUAGCAGUUUUGAAACAGAUCACUUUUACAACCAAGUGAGAAGAAGAUGGUUCGAAGAGGUGGUCGCGCCAGCAAACACGAGAGCUCUCAUCGAUUCUUCAAAGUCAUGUUUGGCAAGAACCACUCAAAAUUUAUGGUACUAAAACCUCUCUCUCUCUCUCUCUCUCACUGUUAGCUGUUUUUAUUAUAUUGCUUUCUUUUCUCUCUCUCAUUCUUCUGGCGAAUCUGUGGAUUUAGGGUUCUGUGCUCUCUGUCAGGGCAUUGCGUUUAAAUAUGUUAUAUCUAUGCAGUGGUUAAACUAGAAAUCUUUUCUGCAGCACUUCAGUUUUAUGUGAAUUUUCUUCGCACAAUCAACUGAGUAUAUUUAUUACGUUGGUUUCGCUCCUGCAUGGAUGAUUGUAAUCUCUUGUUUACUUGCUCUUUUAUCGGCUUGUUAUUUUUGUGAUUAAUUUGAUAACAUAACGCUAUGAAUAAUUAAAUGAAGUUGUGGAUCUUGUGUGUGGCUAUCACAUUUUUUAUGCUAUGUAAAGACCAAAAAUUACUAUAGUUGGGUAGCAGGUUUAGCAGGCAAUUAGAUGCAUCAUGUUAAAAGCAUCUCCCAUGGUGCAUUUAUCUUGUCAACCAGAAACCAUAUACUAAAAAGCAAGGAUCACAAAUUCUUGUUGCUUGGUUUCAAUAUAUUUGAGCAAGAAGAGAAUAGCAAAGAUUGCAACUUGUCAUUUGUCCUCAAAUAGCUUAUCUUCAGACUUGAACUUUUCCGUAAAAUAUGCUUAAAACGCCAUAAAACUCGAAAGACUUAGAUUGACGGCCAUUUGCACCCGUCAAAUUCUUGGGUGUAAUUGCACUAUUAAGUUGGGGGGUUUUGAUUUAUUUUGUGCCAAGACAAACUUUAGGGGAUUUUGUGAAUCACUGUAAACAUUAAGGGCAUUUAUGCUCCUUAUCCCAAGUAUUAAUGAUGUUAGUCCAGUUAUGUGAUCACAUUUAAAAGUGCUGCAUGUUGGACCACUUUGUCUACACAAGAUACUUUUGGCAUGUCAAAUCCUUUCCCACACAGAUUAAACUAUGAACCAUUUGAAAAGUAAAAAUGAUUAUUUUGUGGAGUAACUUGCCUUUUGUACUGCCCAAUUCUAAGUGGGCUUAAUCCUCUCUUUGAAUGUUUACCUUUUAUCGAAAUGAACAAAUAAAAUUUCAAAUUCUUUUGCAGUACUUGCCUCCGAAGUUUGCGCAAAGAGUGAAGCACUUGUUGACUAAUAAAAAAACUGAACUUAAGGAUUCACAUGGGCAGCGAUGGUCUGUAACACUGUCUCUUGUCGAUGGAGCCCUUGCAUUCCAAAUGGGUUGGGAAGAGUUUUAUCUAUACCAUGGUCUCAAAGAAGGACAGCUGUUACUAUUUAAGUACAAGGAAAGCCAUUUUACUGUUCGUAUUUUUGGAACAAGUGCCUGUGAGAGAACAAACUUUAAUAAUGAAAUGCCUGGUCGGAGAAAAAAGCGUAAGAGAUGCCAAGGGACAACUUCAGAAGAUGAAGCACAUCAGACAGCUGGUGUAAAGUCAGAUAUAUCCUGUAAACACAAAUUUUUGUAUUUCAAUUUGAUAAAAUACAAAACGCGUUACAAAGAUAAUUUGAUAGAUAUGAAGAUAGAUUUAUGCGGUUGCAAUCUCUAGUUAAUCCUCUGAUUCUUCUCUUCCAUUUGAUUCUUGAACAAACUCGAAGGUUCUUGAAAUACUUGUUUUGAUGACGCCAAUCCAAGGGACUUAAGUCGUGAUUUUGGAUUGAACGUUGGACUUGAUUUGAUUUGAGAAGAACGUCCUUAGAAUUUUUUGUAAGAACGCCUUGAAGCUUUCGAACUUGAUUUGAUUUGAUUUGAAGAACGUCCUUAGAAUUUGUAAGAACGCCUUGAAGCUUUGGGACUUGGUUGAUUUGAUUUGAGGAAGAUCGUUCUUGGAAUUUGUAAGAACGCCUUGAUCACUUGAAGAUUUGAAGAUUUGAUCACUUGAAGAUACUUGAAGAAUACUUGAAGAUUUGAAUGCUCAAAUACUUGAAGAUUCGAAGAAGACUUGAACGCUAGAUAGAAUUCUUCAAGAUACUUGAAUACUUGGAAGAAUACUUGAACUCUCCAAUUUUUCGCCUCUUUCAACUUGCGAUACUAGAGAGAAUUCUUUAUACUCUUCGAUCUUCCGUUCCUUCACGUUGUUGAUUAUGAGCACCCCAACACCUCUAUUUAUAGAUUUUGGAGAUGGGCUUCANUAUAGUGUCAUUUGUAUAACACAAUAGUGUCAAUUACAGACAAUGUUAUUUAUAUAAUCAGAUAGUGUCAUUUACACAAUUUGAAUCAGAAUGCGAGUUUGAAUCAGAAUGAGGGUCAAGGUCAGGAUCUAAGUACGAGUCAACUCGAAUGUCCGAUACACUCGAGUGCAUCCAAGAUCAUCUCUUUAAAAAAAAGGGUGCAUAUUGAAAAUUGAAAUAGAACGUUUGACUUUCCACCCUAAAAAUAAGCCCCAAACUAAGUCUUCUUCGAUCCCAACAAUGCAAUCAGAGAGCCUUAGAUUUUUCAUGCUGCUUUGGAUCUGCAUUGCUGUUGGCUUUUAUGAACUACUACUUCAAAAAGAUUCAACCUUGCAAAAUUGGAUUUAUUUAUUUAUUUAUUUUUCUACCAGUCCAUCAUCAAAUAAUUUGGGAUAAGCAAUGGAUGAAUGUGAGAGGCUGAGAGCUAACCAAAACUUCAAUGAAUUGUGGAGAUAAUUAACUUGUAUGUGUAGACCCCACCACAACCACAAACAAUCAAAGUUGAUCAAACCUUAUACAGAAAUGGGGUUGCAUUUUGUAUAACCGAAUAAUGUAAUUUACACGGUUUGGAUUAGGAUGCUUGGAUCAGGAUGCGGGUUAAGGCUAGGGUGCGGAUCAGGUGCAAUUGAUUGCACCCAAAACCAGCUCUAGAUUUAAUUAAGGCGGAUGCAUCAAAGCGUGGAUCUAAUGAUUAACAUUCCCUUAUUUUUUUCAUAUAAAGAAAUUACUCAAAAUAGUUGAGAGUUUUGAGACGGCUAAAAGAGGAAUACGAUUCAAACUAGUUGGGACGGAGGGAGUAGUUGAGAGAUGUAUAUAAAGUGUAGAAGAAUGUUCAAUAUUUAUUUUGUAAUAUCAAGUGUGAAUGUAGUUUAAAAUAUAAGUGAUAGUCUAAAAAGAAAAGCAUGCAAUUUGUAUGCAAUUUGCUUUUAUGAACUACCACUUCAAAAAGAUUCAACCUUGCAAAAUUGGGGUUUUUUUUUUCUCCCAGUCCAUCAAAUAAUUCGGGACAAGCAAUGGAUGAAUGUGAGAGCUAGCCAAACAUCAAUGAAUUUUGGAGAUAACCACAAGCAAUCGAAGUUGGUCAAACCUUAUACAGAAAUGGGCUUGCAUUUUGUUUUUUGUUUUUUUUUUUUAAAUGAACAAUUAAAAAAAAGGCUUUAUUCGGUUGGAACGUUUGACUUUCCAGUUUCCACCCUAAAAAUAAGCCCCAAAAUUACUUUAACCUUUUAACCUUUUACCCCCCAAUUUCUUUCUACAGUUUACUUCUUUCUCCCCUCCCAGCUUCCGAUCCACCUGUCACCGUCGCACUCCACCGCCGGCGUUGCUUCAGCGAGUAACCGUAAAACGGUGAGUCUUUUGAGAUUUAUUUUACAUUCUAUCUCAGCGGUGUUAAAAGCACGCUGUUGAUUUGUCGUGGUUUAGUUAGCAGUUUUGAAACAGAUCACUUUUACAACCAAGUGAGAAGAAGAUGGUUCGAAGAGGUGGUCGCGCCAGCAAACACGAGAGCUCUCAUCGAUUCUUCAAAGUCAUGUUUGGCAAGAACCACUCAAAAAUUUAGUACGUAAACCUAACCUCUCUCUCUCUCUCUCUCACUGUUAGCUGUUUUUAUUAUAUUGCUUCUUUUCUCUCUCAUUCUUCUGGCGAAUCUGUGGAUUUAGGGUUCUGUGCUCUCUGUCAGGGCAUUGCGUUUAAAUAUGUUAUAUCUAUGCAGUGGUUAACUAUAAAUCUUUCUGCAGCACUUCUAGUUUUAUGUGAAUUUUCUUCGCACAAUCAACUAAGUAUAUUUAUUACGUUGGUUUCGCUCCUGCAGGCUGCAUGGAUGAUUGUAAUCUCCUGUUUACUUGCUCUUUUAUCGGCUUGUUAUUUUUGCGAUUAAUUUGAUAACAUAACGCUAUGAAUAAUUAAAUGAAGUUGUGGAUCUUGUGUGUGGCUAUCACAUAUUUUAUGCUAUAUAAAGACCAAAAAUUACUAUAGUUGGGUAGCAGGAUUAGCAGGCAAUUAGAUGCAUCAUGUUAAAAGCAUCUCCCAUGGUCCAUUUAUCUUGUCAACCAAAAGCCAUAUAAAAGCAAGGAUCACAAAUUCUUGUUGCUUGGUUUCAAUAUAUUUGAGCAUGGAAGAGAAAAUGCAAAGAUUACAACUUGUCAUUUGUCCUCAAAUAGCUUAUCUUCAGACUUGAACUUUUCCGUUAAAUAUGCUUAAAACGCGAUAAACCAGUAAAGAACUCGAAAGACUUAGAUUGACGGCCAUUUGCAUCUGUCAAAUUCUUGGGUGUAAUUGUGCUAUUAAGUUGGGGGGUUUUGAUUUAUUUUGUGCCAAGACAAACUUUAGGGGAUUUGUGAAUCACUUUGAACAUUAAGGGCAUUUAUGCUCCUUAUCCCAAGUAUUAAUGAUGUUAGUCCUUCUUUUGUAUACCGCAAGGUAUACUUCAACAUUUUACUUCUUUUGUAUUUCUGGCAAAUGGCAAGAAGAGUGUUCCUUUCUUAAAGGCCUUGUGGAUGUGCACUAUUUGGGUGAUUUGGAGAAUGAGGAAUGUUAGUAGAUUUGAAGAUAAGGUGUGCGAGUUUAAUAGCUUGAUCAUGGAGAUAAAGACUAGAAUGUGGACUUGGAAUAAGAUUUUUGGUUUUUUUGCUGCGGAACCAUCCUUGUUGGAAUGGUGUGCUCCAAAGUUUUGUGGUUCCCUUAUUUAAAAAGUUUAGGUACCGCUGGUACCGUCAUCCUUUUUUUUUAAUAUAAUAUGCCUUUUUUCUGAUAAAAAAAAAAAAUUAAUGAUGUUAGUCCAGUUAUGUGAUCACAUUUAAAAGUGCUGCAUGUUGGACCACUUUGUCUACACAAGAUACUUUUGGCAUGUGAAAUUCCUUUCCCACACAGAUUAAACUAUGGACCAUUUGAAAAGUAAAAAUGAUUAUUUUAUCUCAAUUCUAAGUGGGCUUAAUCCUCUCUUUGAAUGUUCACCUUUUGUCGAAAUGAACAAAUAAAAUUUCAAAUUCUUUUGCAGCACUUGCCUCCGGAGAUUGCGCAAAGAGUGAAGCACUUGACUAAUCAAGACACUGAACUUGAAGAUUCAUAUGGGCAGCUAUGGCCUGUAACACUGUCUCUUGUCGAUGGCUCCCUUGCAUUCCAAAUGGGUUGGGAAAAGUUUUAUGUAGGCCAUGGUCUCAAAGAAGGACAGCUGUUAGUAUUUAAGUACAAGGAAGGCCAAUUUACUGUUCGUAUUUUUGGAACAAGUGCCUGUGAGAGAACAAACUUUAAUAAUGAAAUGCCUGGUCGGAGAAAAAAGCGUAAGAGAUGCCAAGGGACAACUUCAGAAGAUGAAGCACAUCAGACAGCUGGUGUAAAGUCAGAUAUAUCCAUCUCGGCCUCCGGAGAUGAAUCUCAAAACCGUAUAACCAAGCUUGCGGUUGAUUUAAGCUUUGAGAUGGAAAACGGAAGAUUUGAUGCAAAUAAAGCUGAGGGUGCUGUAAUCAAACUUUUAGACGCUAGUACUGAAACUGAACAGCGUGAUGUCUUUGAUAAUGCAUCAGACAAAGGAUUAUCCUUAUCUAGUAAUUGGGUUCUAGAACCAACCUACCCAGCAGGGAGAGAUGCUAUGGAGCAGACUAAGACAACUGCAGAGGAUGCUCAAAUGGGUGUGAUCGAGACAGAUCUAAUCACAAGUACUGCUGGUGAUGAUGCUAUGGAGCAGACGAAGACAACUGCAGAGGAUGCUCAAAUGGGUGCCAACAAGACAAACCUAAUCACAAGUAAUACUGGUGACAUUUCUAUUGACAAGUUUGUGACAGCGUCGGAUGCGAAAACAGCCAUUUCUCAUACUGAAAUCACAGACCAGAUUCGGAAAAAAGUGGGUGGCACUCAAAUGACUCCUCAUUCACAUCAGGCAGGUGGCCAUUCUGGUGAUGCUUUUAUGAAAUGGUUUUAUCAUGAGAAACCUUCUGAUGACAAUAAAAUGAAGAAGAUCAUGCUCAAGA